AGCGAACGCUGGCGGCAGGCUUAACACAUGCAAGUCGAGCGGCCGUAGCAAUACGGCAGCGGCAGACGGGAGAGUAACACGUGGGAACGUGCCCAUCAGUUCGGAACAACCCAGGGAAACUUGGGCUAAUACCGGAUACGCCCUUACGGGGAAAGAUUUAUCGCUGAUGGAGCGGCCCGCGUCUGAUUAGCUUGUUGGUGAGGUAACGGCUCACCAAGGCGACGAUCAGUAGCUGGUCUGAGAGGAUGAUCAGCCUCACUGGGACUGAGACACGGCCCAGACUCCUACGGGAGGCAGCAGUGGGGAAUAUUGGACAAUGGGCGCAAGCCUGAUCCAGCCAUGCCGCGUGGAUGAUGAAGGCCCUAGGGUUGUAAAGUCCUUU
rnacentral:rRNA from 1 species